rnacentral:rRNA from 1 species
UACAGAGGUCUCAAGCGUUGUUCGGAUUCAUUGGGCGUAAAGGGUGCGUAGGCGGCGCGGUAAGUCGGGGUGUGAAAUCUUGGAGCUUAACUCCGAAACUGCAUUCGAUACUGCCGUGCUUGAGGACUGGAGAGGAGACUGGAAUUUAUGGUGUAGCAGUGAAAUGCGUAGAGAUCAUGAGGAAGACCAGUGGCGAAGGCGGGUCUCUGGACAGUUCCUGACACUGAGACACGAAGGCCAGGGGAGCAAACGGG